CAGCUUUCUCUGUGUUCAGAUGAAUCACAUGAGUCAGUUCUAUAGAAAUAAAUGAUCAAGGAACGGUGUGAACACUCAUCUAUUCUCUAAUUCUAAUCUUAACUCAUACGUUUUACUGCAGGUUUUUACUUAAAGUGCGUUUGCUUUUUAUCUCUUUAGAGUUACAUUUAAUGUCAUUGAUCAUCAGAGGGACAAGAUUCCACCUGGUGAAGUUUAUCAGACAAAUAAUUAGCUUGUGAUGUUCCUAAGAAACGUCUGAAGGUCCUUGGAAACUUUCUUGUAGUGUGACGGAGCACUGAGGCUGGAGACUCCUUCCACUCCUUUAUCUCCAAUGUAAAACCAGAAAGUAUAAACUCCUCUUUCUUGAUGAAUUUCCUGAGCUGGGAAACUUGUUGAAGCUCUGUAUCCAGCAACCAGCAGCACACUGAUGUCAGCCCGAGAAGCAGGAUCUUGUCAUUAAACUGUCAAAACCUGCGAGAUAAACACCGUGUUUAUGGGAGAGGCUCUGAGUUUUAAUUAAAAGCUGGGAGAGGGCAAAUCUACAGAGACAAACAGAACAGAAACCUUCAUUUAAAGCAUGUCUAAUAUCAUAAUGACCCUAUACAUGCAAUUCUGUUCUAUAGAAGAGAAAAUUUUACUGUAUGCUAAGAGUUCAGAAGUACGUGCCCAACUGUUGCUGCUAUACGGCUUGAUUCCUGCUUUUCACUUUACUUAAAACCUGCAUAGAGCAUUCAUAAAGGCUCGUAAGAUAUGUUGUACUGAACUAAGAUUUUAUACAUAUAUAUGUAUAAAGCAAUACUCACAGUGUACAAUGUGCAAUUGUGUUAUAAUUAUGAUUUAAAGACAAUUUGCAAAAUGGUAUAUGUUAUAAGGCAUUAUAACAUGUCAUUCAGACAUAACACUGUUGCCUGUGUUAUAAUGCAUUACAAGCAUCAUUACAUAUCUACAUUGUAAACAUGUCUGGAAUAAGAAAUGAUUAUAUUUAUUAUUAUACUGUAUUAUAAUUAUUAAUAUGCUCUAAGUGUGUUGUGCAUGUUAUAAUAACAACUUAAGAGCAUCUAUAAAAGUUUAUGCUAUGCAUUAUAGUGAUUUAUGUAUCUAUAUAACAUUAUAAAUACAUCUACUGUAUGAAAUAUAAUUACACAAUGCAAAGCAUUGUGAAAAAUACA